rnacentral:lncRNA from 1 species
AUGGCAGCAUAUCAAAGCACCAAUGCACAACUUCUGCUGAUAGGAUAUUGAAAUACCAGGAUAUAACUCUUAUUGACAGGGUAUCAAAGUACCAGCGCACAAACUCUACUGAUAGGAUAUCGAAAUAACAGUGCACAACCUCUACUGAUAGGGUAUCAAAAUACCAGUAUAUAAUCCCGACUGGUAGGGUAUCAAAAUAUAGUCAAGCUGCGAGUCAAAAUCUAUCUCAGAUUAAACAUAAAUUCAUAUUCCAAUUCAAAAAGUCAGAAACCAAAUGACAUCGAAAUCCAAUGCUAUAAUUGAUAUCAAAAUCAAUAUAAUCUAUCACAAAUCAUUUGACAUAUUGGGAAGAAGAAUAUAUUCAGUAA